rnacentral:lncRNA from 1 species
UUUUUAGAGACAGGGUUUCUCUGUGUAGUGCUGGCUGUCCUGGAACUCACUCUGUAGACCAGGCUGGCCUUGAACUCAGAAAUCCGCCUGCUUCUGCCUCCCAAGUGUUGGGAUUAAAAGCAUGCGCCACCAUUGCCUAGUGACAAAUGUUUUUAUUAAAAAAAAAAAAAAAAAGCAAAUCUAAGUAAAAUAUGCAUGCCCAGUAAUAAAGGAGGCAAAGAGAAAAACAAAAAACAGAGGAAUAAAGAAGCUGUCGGCUAUAUUAGACUGGAAACCUAGUACCCUAGACUAAAAACCCUGGAGACCUGAACUCCCAUUGCUUCACACUUAUGUUGUUAAUGUUAAUGUUGUACAAAUAGCACUUGUUUUAGUAUAAAAAAUUAUAUUGUCCUGUU